GGAGGGUGCAAGCGUUAUCCGGAUUUAUUGGGUUUAAAGGGUCCGUAGGCGGAUCUGUAAGUCAGUGGUGAAAUCUCAUAGCUUAACUAUGAAACUGCCAUUGAUACUGCAGGUCUUGAGUAAAGUAGAAGUGGCUGGAAUAAGUAGUGUAGCGGUGAAAUGCAUAGAUAUUACUUAGAACACCAAUUGCGAAGGCAGGUCACUAUGUUUUAACUGACGCUGAUGGACGAAAGCGUGGGGAGCGAACAGGAUUAGAUACCCUGGUAGUCCACGCCGUAAACGAUGCUAACUCGUUUUUGGGUUUUCGGAUUCAGAGACUAAGCGAAAGUGAUAAGUUAGCCACCUGGGGAGUACGUUCGCAAGAAUG
rnacentral:rRNA from 1 species